CCAACGUAAGCAACCUGCCCCAAAGACCGGGACAACGUUCCGAAAGGAGCGCUAAUACCGGAUGUGCCCUGCUUGUGACAUCGCUUGCAGAGUAAAGCGCGCAAUCGGCUUUGGGAGGGGCUUGCGGCCUAUCAGCUAGAUGGUGGGGUAACGGCCUACCAUGGCGACGACGGGUAGCUGGUCUGAGAGGAUGGUCAGCCGGAUUGGGACUGAGAUACGGCCCAG
rnacentral:rRNA from 1 species